GGACCCAGUCGAGAAAGUUCCUUCACACUCCUCAGAUGCUUCCUCUGGUCCCUCGACCCCACAGCCUCCCCUCACCUCCUGGAGUAGCUCAGCACAGUUGGCUUCAUCCAGUUCCCUGCGCAAAAGUGAAGGAAGACCCGUAGCAGGAAGUCGGCAUCUCUGUGUGGCUCAAAGGUGGAGGGAAUGAUGACAUAUUCCCCCGGAGGCAGCCGGAGAUGACUGCUUACCUCCCGCGAGUUAGUGAAGAUCUCUGAGAAGCCAUGGUCCUGAUACUUUAUGAAGAAGUCCUUCUUCAAGCGAGUAUCCUGGAUGUUCUGAAACUAUAUGUGCCUUGGAGGUGGGUACAGGGCUGGCAUGUGAGUAUAGGCAGAGAGAGGGACCCCAAAAGUGAAGCUUACUUGGGCAAGUCUCCGGGGGAGGCAUUACCACAAACUGACCAGUCCUGGAUACCACCCAGCUGGCAGGUAACCAAAGUAUCCCCUGCCCGACUCCCUACUCCUUGAUCUCCUGCCCUGACUCCCAUCCGGGGCCCCAACGCAGUAGAAUCCUAACCCAGUAGCCCUGAGAGCCCUUGGCUGAAUUCUACCCCUUGGCCAUCCACAUGCAGCCAGAGGUGGGGCAGUGCCUGCCCAGAAUCAAGCCCAUGUCUUCUGUACCUCCUUUGGGACCUAGGAAGAGAAGAGAGAGGAAGGCCAAACUCCCAGGAUGGUGAAAGGGCUCAGGCCUGUAGAAGUCAGGCAGUGUGUGUGUGUGUGUGUGUGUGUGUGUGCACGUGUGCACAUGUGUGUGUGUUGGGGGUGUUACAGCGGGACACUGGUGGUGGGGGGGGGGGGCAUGGGUUCUGACAGCCAAAAGUCCUAACGUUAACAUUAAUAAUCCCUCAGUUUUGGACAACAAAGCAUAGUUUACACAAAGUUUUGCCAGGGGGAAGUUUUACCCCUGCAGGUUAAGGAUAGGAAACCGAAUCCCAGGAGGUGAGGUAACGUGCCCAAUUUCACACUGCUAAAAAGUGAAAGAGCUAGGAUGAAAGUUGAGGAGAGCGUUUUCCAGAACACGAGCGUUUUCCAUGGAACACUUAUAUCCUGCAGUAGUUAACAGAGAGAGACAGAGCAUAAGCAGGAAAGGGACACACAGAAUCCAAA